rnacentral:rRNA from 1 species
GGGAUGCACGCUGGCGGCAUGCUUUACACAUGCAAGUCGAACGGUAACAGGGUGCUUGCACCGCUGACGAGUGGCGAACGGGUGAGUAAUGCGUCGGAACGUGCCGAGUAGUGGGGGAUAACGCAGCGAAAGUUGUGCUAAUACCGCAUACGUACUGAGGUAGAAAGUGGGGGACCUUCGGGCCUCACGCUAUUCGAGCGGCCGACGUCUGAUUAGCUAGUAGGUGAGGUAAAGGCUCACCUAGGCGACGAUCAGUAGCGGGUCUGAGAGGAUGAUCCGCCACACUGGGACUGAGACACGGCCCAGACUCCUACGGGAGGCAGCAGUGGGGAAUUUUGGACAAUGGGCGAAAGCCUGAGUAGCCAUGCCGCGUGUCUGACGAAGGCCUUCGGAUUGUAAAGGACUUUUGUCAGGGAGGAGUCCCUAGCGCUAUACCACUGGGGGAUGACAGUACCUGACAAUCGCACGGCUACACUGCGGGCGCGCGUACACACCGGGUAAGGAUUAAAGAGAUCUACAUCGUGUAGUGAUGUAUCCUG